UCGAGCGGAGUUUUGAAAGCUUGCUUUUCMMWCUUUGCGGCGGACGGGUGAGUAACACGUGGGCAACCUGCCCUUGAGACGGGGAUAACUCCGGGAAACCGGAGCUAAUACCGGAUAACACAUAUCUUCGCAUGAGGAUAUGUUAGAAGGUGGCUUUUAGCUACCACUCAAGGAUGGGCCCGCGGCGCAUUAGCUAGUUGGUGAGGUAACGGCUCACCAAGGCGACGAUGCGUAGCCGACCUGAGAGGGUGAUCGGCCACACUGGGACUGAGACACGGCCCAGACUCCUACGGGAGGCAGCAGUAGGGAAUCUUCCGCAAUGGACGAAAGUCUGACGGAGCAACGCCGCGUGAGUGAUGAAGGUUUUCGGAUCGUAAAGCUCUGUUGUUAGGGAAGAACAAGUAUCUGUUGAAUAAGCAGGUACCUUGACGGUACCUAACCAGAAAGCCACGGCUAACUACGUGCCAGCAGCCGCGGUAAUACGUAGGUGGCAAGCGUUGUCCGGAAUUAUUGGGCGUAAAGCGCGCGCAGGCGGUUCCUUAAGUCUGAUGUGAAAGCCCACGGCUCAACCGUGGAGGGUCAUUGGAAACUGGGGAACUUGAGUGCAGAAGAGGAGAGCGGAAUUCCACGUGUAGCGGUGAAAUGCGUAGAGAUGUGGAGGAACACCAGUGGCGAAGGCGGCUCUCUGGUCUGUAACUGACGCUGAGGCGCGAAAGCGUGGGGAGCGAACAGGAUUAGAUACCCUGGUAGUCCACGCCGUAAACGAUGAGUGCUAAGUGUUAGAGGGUUUCCGCCCUUUAGUGCUGCAGCAAACGCAUUAAGCACUCCGCCUG
rnacentral:rRNA from 2 species